GUGCGCAGGCUCAGAGAAGCUAGUGUUCCUGUCCCCCAGCCCCAGCUUUUCUUUCUCAUACUGCUGUUUUGCAGAGAUGUAGUCUCUCCUUGGUGUGAGGGACUCGCUCUUCCUGUGCAGUUCCUAACAGAGAUCAAGAGGUACUAAAAGAAUGUAUGGCAGUGGACAGAGGGCUGGAUGGGAUAAUUCAUUUGUACAGCUAGAACUGUUCCGAGUUAGGCCAAUGUCUUCAUUUUUCAAAUGGAAGAAAUGUAAGCCCAGAGGGAUGUGCUCUUCCAGGCUAGAUGUAUUUUACUGUGUUGUUCCGGGAACGAACCCUGGGCAUGACUGACAAGGAAGGGUUAGAUUGGUAAAAACCCACUAAACACAGAUAAUGUAACACCCCAGGGGGACUUACUAAGGCCUGUAAAAGAAAUCAGAGCAACAGAAGGCAGGGCUUCAGGCAUUAGGGCAAUCACAACUACAGGGAUGGGACGAGCAUAGCAUUUGUUGGGCAGUUGGUCUACACUAGGCAUGAAUGUCCACUCUUCUUGGCCCUGAGAAAGGUAUUGUUCCAGACAAAAGUGAUUGGGAAGUCGUUGCCCUCCCAGUCAGUCAGUUGCGGUGGUAGUAACUCACUGGCCAUAGACUAUGUGACAGAAGCUAACUAACAGCCUGUAGACUCAGAAGCUCAUUUAGUGGGGACCUUGGAGGUCUCAGCAUCUUAACACAGCCCACUUCCAGUUACCAAGAAAGUAGCAUGCCAAAUGAUCUGACGUUUCUACCUGUGAAAAGACAGUGAUUUGUCGCCACAUCCCGGAAUACCAGCAUCUGUAAACCUUCCCACAGGAGAGAUGCUGGCCUGCUACCAUCCACCAAGAUUUCUACAGAUAGACUCACAGCAUGCGCAGACUAGGCCUUGCUCUGAAGUCUCUCUUUCCCCAAUUCUUGUGCUGAUGCGCCUAGCCAAACAGGAGGCUUACUGUGCAGACAAGCUGGUACAGCAAGCACACUCUGAAGCCCACACCAGAGAAUACUGAUGGGAGUCAGGCGGUCCAGAUGCCAUCCAUCUGUAAGCCAGGAUCAUCCCCUGCCUCUGGUGUUUGUUAAUUUCUCAACAGAAGCCAACUUUGAGUUAAGGAUGUCUGUCAUGCUCAAAACUUACUCAGUUACCCAAAGUUUAAAGACGAGGAAUCCAGAGGAUGUUCUGUACCCAAAGACGGUGGCUGAGAAGUUGUGCCAAUUCCAACCCGCUCUGGUCAGCUGUACCCCUCCCUUGACACUAUUAACAGUAAUGAUGAAGAUGAACAACUGCUGAGGGCUUGCUGGAUGACAAGCAGAGUGCUUGGCACUUCCCAUGCUUCUUGAUGUAACCCCCACAGCAACACUGUGAGGUUGUCCUUACCCACAUUUACAUUUGCAGGUGAGGGUUGAAGUGCAAUCUGUAAGGAAACACAGCCAAGCCAGGUCAUAUGGUUACUAAGUACAAGAGCUGGCAUUCAGAGCAGUGUGGCUGCCUCUCUAAGAUCUUAACCAUCCCACUCCCGGGCUGAGCAAAGCAAGCACACGAGUAUAAAGAAAGGGCCAUUUGAGAGAAGUGAAGGAAAAAAACUGACUAAGGGCUUGCAGUGAUGAACAGGGAGUGUGCCAGCAGAAGGCAUUUGGAGACUGUGUGGGAGAUUACUACGCGAUGUUAGGGGCUUACAGCAGUUGCUUCAUUUAUAAUGUGAGCAAGCCCUGGGGCUGAGACCAAGUACAGAAACUGAGUGAGGUAUGUGGGGGUGAGGGUGCAGAGCAGGAUCAUUACUAUGGAGAUGAUAAUCAAAGUUUACCAAUCCCACACUCCAGAAGCCAGAGACCACUGAGAUGUGACACGGCAUGGAAGAAUGCUGGCCCUGGGUUGGAAUCGGAUUCUAGUCCAGUCUCUGCCAUUGAUUAGCUGUGUAACUUGGAUGGAGUCAUUUCAGUUUCUGAACCUGUUUCCUCUAUUGCACAAUGGGGGUUACAACUUCUAAACCUCAAGCUGUAAUGUGUAAUAAGACGAGCAAAGCCGCCUUAAAGUGAAGCUAAGAAUCCAGGCCUUUCUCCAGGUGUUCCUUCUACUUCCUCCCUGCAUAUUGUUAUCUUCUGUCAGCACAUAACUUUUGGCAAAGAACAAGCUUUCGAUCGGGUUUCAGGCUAUGGAACACCCAAAGAAGCCAUUGCUCUAAGGGAAUUAUUUUCAAGUCUCUAAAUAAAUAAUAUGACCAUGUCUGAUUCUUACACAUACCUCACAUGGACAUUAGUGUACCUUCCUAUUUGAGUUUGAUUCUCAAUCAAGAAAAAAAAAUACUACUUAACACAACGAAAAGGUGGUUAUAUUAUUAUGGACAUUGGAAAAGGGGCUUAUGGAUUUCUCCCACCAUUUCCGACUUGACACUUCCUCCAAAGCCAACUAUAGAGUUCACUUUGAAAGUGGUAACAGAAAAGGAAAAGUAUUCUGCUAGGGGGCUGGGUGGGGGCAGGUAGAAGAAGCCACAUGACAAUUUUUCCAGUCCUGCUUAAGUAGCAUCAAUGCCUCUGUGAGAGAACUUCAAGAGGGUGAGGAACUAAUAGUAACAUAAGGAGCUGGACUUGUCAGGUUGGUCGGGUACCUUCUGUGUCUGGGACCUGCAUCUGCAAACGAGUAAACAGUGCAUGGUCUCUACUUUUAAAGCGAGUCAGGAUGGGGAUGUGUUAGAUCAGAUGUCUUCUUCCUCUCCAAAUAACCAAAUUAAAGUGCAGGGAUCUGAAGCAGAGCAAACUUGCAAAACAUGUUUUAGCCCAUUCUGGUUGCUGUAACAAAAUACUGCAAACUGGGUAACUUAUGAACAAGAGAAGUUUAUUCCUCACAGUUCCAAAGGCUGGAAUAUCUGCCUUCAAGUUGCCAAUAGAUUUGGUGAAUGAGAAUCUAAAGGAUGAAAAGUCAACUUGAAGGUUGUUCUAAUUUGCAUCUACUUAGUUAUUUGUGCUAGUCAACAUUUUAUCAUCUUUUGAUGAGUAGACAUUUGCCUAUUUAAAAGCUAGAUUGCUGUGUAUAAGCUAAACCCUAUAGCAGCAUUAGUCAAGCCUAAAAGGGACAAGGGGGACCAUCCAGCCCCUGUCACAGGAGGAGGCCAAAGGCACAUUCUAUACUAUCAAUAUCACUGGGUGAAUAAAGAGUGCCACACAACAGGGUCAAGUCAGUCAUCUAGACAGGUGUCUAGAAGACACGUGGAGGAAGUUAUCUUUCAACCAAAACCCAGAGGGACAUUUCAGAGUUAAAGGGCCAGAGGAGGUGGGACAAAUCAUUCCCAGAGGGACUCAGAGGAAUGCAAGGCUCCAAGAUGUUAAGUGACAGGAAAUUGAGGUGAAAAUAGUGUAGGAUGGUGGGGAGGGGGUGGAGACAGGGGGAUGAAGGGAAAGGUGGAUGAUUAUUGACUUCUCAGUUUGUCUAGUACCAAGAGAAAAACAAGACAGCAGCUGAAAACUCAGGGAAGUCCCUUCCUAACCUAGAUGGUCACCAUGUGUCUUCAAUGCUGCUCUACAGACCUGCUAAGGAUUGGGGACUUUCUCUAGGCUUCAAGGACAAGUUUCCUGCAUAGUUCCAGUUUCACGUUCAGUGCUGUGGAGUCUAUGAAGGAUGUGAAGGCGGAAGCGGGCAGUGUGGCAAGAGCAGAGAUUAGACAUCAGCUGGGUGGCACUUUGUAGCAUGAUAAGCCAGUGGCAGAGUCCCCAUCAUAUGCAAACCCAGGAGGGACCAAGACACCUACUCAUCAGGGGCUGUCUUUUCUCUCUGUGGUGGCACCGGACCUUCUGUCCUUGCCCUAUUGGAGCUGUGGCAUGCCUUAGAGAGCCUGCCUCUCUCCUUCCACACCAGCCCCAACCCCAUGCUAGGCCAGGCCAUCCUGAGAACCCCUUCUCUCUCCUAAUGAUGCUGCCUUAGCAGGGUCACUGACAACACAGAGGUCAGCAUGACUACUUUGGGAGCUGUAGCUUUCUGAGGAGUAAGAGGCACCCUGUCAGGAUGGUGUCCAGUGGAAGAAGCUAAAGAGAGUUUAGAAUUCACUCUGUGAAGCCAGCACCUGGGAACUAUCCAGAGGUCUCCUUCAAGAAACUGUUUGAUAUCUAUGUCCACAGUUGGAGAGUGAUCUGGGACAGAUAUAAUUUUGGACAACUCACCUUUACAAAGCUGAAACUAAAAGUCACUGAAGAAGAUCAGAAUAUCCAUGGUAUAGAGGAAAGUUGGAUUAUAACAAUAACUCCACUAACUAAAAGAAAAGUUAAAGGAAAAUAGUUUACAAUCAAAGCACACUAUGUAGUUGUAUGAGAAUGCCACAUCGUUUUAUACAAUAAAUUUUAUACAUUUUUACAAUAAAUAUACAGGCUAAAGUCAAAAUUAA